rnacentral:rRNA from 1 species
CCUACGGGAGACAGCAGUGGGGAAUAUUGGGCAAUGGGCGCAAGCCUGACCCAGCAAUGCCGCGUGAAGGAAGAAGGCUUUCGGGUUGUAAACUUCUUUGACAGGGGACGAGCAGAAGACGGUACCCUGAAAACAAGCCACGGCUAACUACGUGCCAGCAGCCGCGGUAAUACGUAGGUGGAAAGCGUUGUCCGGAUUUACUGGGUGUAAAGGGCGUGUAGCCGGGAAGGCAAGUCAGAUGUGAAAUCUGGAGGCUCAACCUCCAAAUUGCAUUUGAAACUGUUUUACUUGAGUACUGGAGAGGCAGACGGAAUGCCUUGUGUAGCGUUGAAAUGCGUAGAUAUAAGGAGGAACACCAGUGGCGAAGGCGGUCUGCUGGACAGCAACUGACGGUGAGGCGCGAAAGCGUGGGGAGCAAACAGGAUUAGAUACCCUAGUAGUC